rnacentral:rRNA from 1 species
UACGAAGGGGGCUAGCGUUGCUCGGAAUCACUGGGCGUAAAGCGCACGUAGGCGGAUUGCUAAGUCAGGGGUGAAAUCCUGGAGCUCAACUCCAGAACUGCCUUUGAUACUGGCGACCUUGAGUCCGGGAGAGGUGAGUGGAACUGCGAGUGUAGAGGUGAAAUUCGUAGAUAUUUGCAAGAACACCCGUGGCGAAGGCGGUUCUCUGGGACGGUACUGACGCUGAGACGCGAAAGCGUGGGGAGCGAACAGG